ACCAUCGCCUCCUCUACCGAGAUGCCCUCUAGCCGCAUGGACCCCGUGGGCGCGCUGAGGAGGGGAGCCUGAGCCGGAGCUGUCCCCGCUGGCCCUCGCUGGCCCUCUGACCCUUCUUCGCCCCGCCAGGAAUUACCACUCCAUGCCGGAAUCUAGUCAGCACCUCAAAAGACACCCUCCCAAUCAGAAUUCUGCUGAGGCAGGAUGACUGGACUUCCUUCCCACUGAAGUUAUCCAGUCAUGUCCGACACCUUGUGAGUCCAUGGACUGUAGCCCACCAGGCUCCUCUGUGAAGAGCUACCAUGAAACUUCAUAUACAGGUUCCAGAUUGGUUGCAUAUUCAACCAACAUUGGAUCAAAAGUGUUCAGGAAAAAAAGAAAUUCAGGUACUUCGCUGGUGGUCCAGUGGUUAAGAAUCCACCUUGCAAUGCACAGGACACUGGUCCAAUCCCUGGUCCAGGAAAAUUCCACAGGAACUAAGCCUGCAUGCCACAACUGCUGAGCCCACACUCUACAGCCUGUGAGGCAACUAUUACUGAGCCCUCGAGCAGCAAUUACUGAGGCCUGCGCGCCUAGAGCCUGUGCACUGCAACCAAAGAAGCCACCACAAUGAGAAGCCCCUACUCUCACAACUAGAGACAACCAAGUGCACCGUCAAAGACCAAGUGCAGCCCAAAAUAAAUUUUUUGUUUUUUAAAAAAAUUCAAGAAAUUUCCAAAGAUCACAACUUGAAUUUGUCACACACCAGCAACUAUUUACACAGCAUCUACAUUGUAUUGGACA